GGAGGCGCUCUUUCCCGCCAUGUGACGGAUGAGUUGAUCCUUGCAGGCGAAGUUAGCUACCUGCGACAUGUUAGCAUUAGCAUGUAGCAGCAGGUGGUUUAAGCCGAAGAGACUCGGGGACUCACCAGCAGAGACAUGGCGUCCAUGUCCUCGAACAAGACUUUGAGCGCCAGUCGGUAGAAAGAGGCUACUUCCGGCGUGGGAGCCGUCGUCAUGGUAACCACCCUCCCGAGGACGGUCAGAGAGAUGCAGGUCAGCUCCACGACGUUGCCGCCGCCGUCGUGCUCCUCCUGCGCGCGCACACCGCGGACUAUCAACCCUGCGAGAUUCACGGCGCCGUGUCGAGGAAGUGUGGCGUGGAAGCUGCACUCGUACACCUCAGAGAGGCUGUCCUGGAGCUCCGAGGCCGUGAAGCACGCGCCACCGACGGCGGGCGCUGCCGCCAUCUUGGUUCUUGUCACGUGACCCUAAGUCACGUGGUGUUUGCGGAGACGCAGCAUUGGCUGCUGUGACGCGAGAAAUUCGGCCGCCAUCUUGAAGUGGUGAUGAGGAGCCUGCGAGCAGCCUGAACUGACAGUUGACCAGGGGCGUCACUAGACCUAAUACUGUACUGGGGCACACCUGGGGCACAAAUAAUUCAUGUGAGCGUGCAAAGCGCGGAAGCAAAAACAUUUUUAGCACUUAUUUAUCAUAAAAAAUACGUAAAUAGUGCUUUAAACUAUGAAAUCAAAUCAGAUUAUGUUGUAUGGAUCUUUGAUUAAAAACCUGAAAGUAACUCAUGCAUUUGACCUACUUGUGCACUUUUUUACUCCAGACUUCUAAACUGCUACUGGUAAAAGCAAAAAGGAAGAGCAAUGAAUCUUUUUUAAAUAUAUAUUGCGGUAAUCAUCUGCAAAUGUAACAUCUACAAAAGUAAAACAAAAAAUAAAGCACCCCUACAUCUCUGGGUUCUUUUAUAUUAUUUAAUUUCCAUUUCUGGCAAUGUGGCUAAUCCUAUUUCAGAUACACAAAACUAUAAAUUAUACACAAAACAAUAAAGCCACAGUAGUAGAAUAAAUGAACAACUGUUGUGUGUCUGUUCAGGGAAUCAUUUUCUGAGAAGUAAACUGUAACGUCUCAUUUUCAUUUUUGCAAAGUGGUCAAUCACUCUGGACAGACAUGGAAAUAUUACAGUAACUGUUAUACAGUUGACCAGUGGUUCCCAACUGCUGGGUCGUGACAUAAAAGUGGAUUGUGUGUCAUUUUCAGUGAGUCGCAGUCACAUGUGUGCAUGAAGAAAAAAAAGUUUAGGGAGAAAAAAAAUCUAAUUGUGGCAACAAAACAGAUAUUUUUAGCCAUUUUUCUAGUGACCAUUAGUGAGUAUUUUAGCAAAAGGCAAACCAACUAACAAGUUGGAGGAGGACUCAGGAGACAUGGAAAUAUAUAUUUUUUUAAUCUAAAUCGGGCAACCAAACCCGAUAUUUUCAGCCAUCUUUCUGAAAACAAAUACAGAAAUGUUACUAUUUUUUCUGGAAACAAAACCAAAUGCUUUAGCUGUAGCCAUUUUUCUGGUGACAAAACAAGAUUAUUUUAGUCAAAGUCACAGCGAUUAACAAGACAAGUCUACUGUGCUAUUUUUCUGUGAAAUAAACUUGAAUGAUUUCAAAA